ensembl:snRNA U6 U6 spliceosomal RNA
UUGUAAGGCUUGGGCAAACACAUAUACUAAAACCCAAAUGACACAGAGAAGAUUUGCAUGGCCCCUGUGGACAGAUUACAUGCAAAUUCAUAAUAUGUUCUGUAUUUGC